rnacentral:rRNA from 1 species
UACGGGGGGGGCGAGCGUUGUUCGGAAUUACUGGGCGUAAAGGGCGCGUAGGCGGUUCGCUAAGUUGGAUGUGAAAACUCUGGGCUCAACCCAGAGCCUGCAUCCAAAACUGGCGGGCUAGAGUUCUGGAGGGGGUAGCGGAAUUCCUGGUGUAGCGGUGAAAUGCGUAGAUAUCAGGAGGAACACCGGUGGCGAAGGCGGUUCUCUGGGCAUUACCUGACGCUGAGGAGCGAAAGUGUGGGGAGCGAACAGG